rnacentral:sRNA from 1 species
GCCGGGUGUGGUGGCGGGCGCCUGUUAUCCCAGCUACUCGGGAGGCUGAGGCAGGAGAAUCGCUUGAACCCGGGAGGUGGAGGUUGCAGUGAGCCAAGAUCACGCCACUGCACUCCAGCCUGGGCAACAGAGUGAGACUCUGUCUCAA